CUAUGUGUUGUUGGGUAGGGGAGCGUUCUGUAAGCCUGUGAAGGUGUACUGUGAGGUAUGCUGGAGGUAUCAGAAGUGCGAAUGCUGACAUAAGUAACGAUAAAGCGGGUGAAAAGCCCGCUCGCCGGAAGACCAAGGGUUCCUGUCCAACGUUAAUCGGGGCAGGGUGAGUCGACCCCUAAGGCGAGGCCGAAAGGCGUAGUCGAUGGGAAACAGGUUAAUAUUCCUGUACUUGGUGUUACUGCGAAGGGGGGACGGAGAAGGCUAUGUUGGCCGGGCGACGGUUGUCCCGGUUUAAGCGUGUAGGCUGAUUUUCCAGGUAAAUCCGGAAAAUCAAGGCUGAGGCGUGAUGACGAGGCACUACGGUGCUGAAGCAACAAAUGCCCUGCUUCCAGGAAAAGCCUCUAAGCAUCAGGUAACAUCAAAUCGUACCCCAAACCGACACAGGUGGUCAGGUAGAGAAUACCAAGGCGCUUGAGAGAACUCGGGUGAAGGAACUAGGCAAAAUGGUGCCGUAACUUCGGGAGAAGGCACGCUGAUACGUAGGUGAAGUCCCUCGCGGAUGGAGCUGAAAUCAGUCGAAGAUACCAGCUGGCUGCAACUGUUUAUUAAAAACACAGCACUGUGCAAACACGAAAGUGGACGUAUACGGUGUGACGCCUGCCCGGUGCCGGAAGGUUAAUUGAUGGGGUUAGCGGUAACGCGAAGCUCUUGAUCGAAGCCCCGGUAAACGGCGGCCGUAACUAUAACGGUCCUAAGGUAGCGAAAUUCCUUGUCGGGUAAGUUCCGACCUGCACGAAUGGCGUAAUGAUGGCCAGGCUGUCUCCACCCGAGACUCAGUGAAAUUGAACUCGCUGUGAAGAUGCAGUGUACCCGCGGCAAGACGGAAAGACCCCGUGAACCUUUACUAUAGCUUGACACUGAACAUUGAGCCUUGAUGUGUAGGAUAGGUGGGAGGCUUUGAAGUGUGGACGCCAGUCUGCAUGGAGCCGACCUUGAAAUACCACCCUUUAAUGUUUGAUGUUCUAACGUUGGCCCCUAAUCGGGGUUGCGGACAGUGUCUGGUGGGUAGUUUGACUGGGGCGGUCUCCUCCUAAAGAGUAACGGAGGAGCACGAAGGUUGGCUAAUCCUGGUCGGACAUCAGGAGGUUAGUGCAAUGGCAUAAGCCAGCUUGACUGCGAGCGUGACGGCGCGAGCAGGUGCGAAAGCAGGUCAUAGUGAUCCGGUGGUUCUGAAUGGAAGGGCCAUCGCUCAACGGAUAAAAGGUACUCCGGGGAUAACAGGCUGAUACCGCCCAAGAGUUCAUAUCGACGGCGGUGUUUGGCACCUCGAUGUCGGCUCAUCACAUCCUGGGGCUGAAGUAGGUCCCAAGGGUAUGGCUGUUCGCCAUUUAAAGUGGUACGCGAGCUGGGUUUAGAACGUCGUGAGACAGUUCGGUCCCUAUCUGCCGUGGGCGCUGGAGAACUGAGGGGGGCUGCUCCUAGUACGAGAGGACCGGAGUGGACGCAUCACUGGUGUUCGGGUUGUCAUGCCAAUGGCACUGCCCGGUAGCUAAAUGCGGAAGAGAUAAGUGCUGAAAGCAUCUAAGCACGAAACUUGCCCCGAGAUGAGUUCUCCCUGACUCCUUGAGAGUCCUGAAGGAACGUUGAAGACGACGACGUUGAUAGGCCGGGUGUGUAAGCGCAGCGAUGCGUUGAGCUAACCGGUACUAAUGAACCGUGAGGCUUAACCUU
rnacentral:rRNA from 1 species